rnacentral:rRNA from 1 species
GAUGAACGCUGGCGGCGUGCCUAACACAUGCAAGUCGAACGGAGCUGCUUUGAUGAGAUCUUCGGAUGGAUUUAAAACAGCUUAGUGGCGGACGGGUGAGUAACGCGUGGGUAACCUGCCUCACACUGGGGGAUAACAGUUAGAAAUAGCUGCUAAUACCGCAUAAGCGCACGGUUCCGCAUGGAACAGUGUGAAAAACUCCGGUGGUGUGAGAUGGACCCGCGUCUGAUUAGCCAGUUGGCGGGUAACGGCCCACCAAAGCGACGAUCAGUAGCCGGCCUGAGAGGGUGAACGGCCACAUUGGGACUGAGACACGGCCCAAAAUCCUACGGGAGCAGCAGUGGGGAAUAUUGCACAAUGGGGGAAACCCUGAUGCAGCGACGCCGCGUGAGUGAAGAAGUAUCUCGGUAUGUAAAAGCUCUAUCAGCAGGGAAGAAAAAUGACGGUACCUGACUAAGAAGCCCCGG